rnacentral:tRNA from 1 species
GCGCCCGUAGCUCAGUGGAUAGAGCGCGCGCCUCCGGAGCGCGAGGUCACUGGUUCGAAUCCAGUCGGGCGCG